rnacentral:tRNA from 1 species
GCCCCCGUGGCGGAACUGGUAGACGCGACGGAUUCAAAAUCCGUUUCCUUAACCGGAGUGUCCGUUCGAGUCGGACCGGGGGCACCA